rnacentral:rRNA from 1 species
UUAAGACUAAGACGUUGAUAGGCUGGGUGUGUAAGCGUAGCGAUACGUUGAGCUAACCAGUACUAAUGAUCCGUGAGGCUUAACCUU